UAUGUGACGUCAGAGCGCGUAACUGGGAUUACAUCGAUCUAGUACGAGUUCACGGGUGGGAAGUCACGGGUUUGACUGCCGUUCCAGUGCACUUUCACGGGUAGAAGGUUGGAAAAACACGGGUUACGGGUUGCCUGGAACGUGGCAUCAGAACGUUCAAGAGCUUACUUUAAAA